rnacentral:rRNA from 1 species
GUCCCCGCAACGAGCGCAACCCUUGUCAUUAGUUGCUACGCAAGAGCACUCUAAUGAGACUGCCGGUGACAAACCGGAGGAAGGUGGGGAUGACGUCAGGUCCUCAUGGCCCUUAUGGGUAGGGCUACACACGUCAUACAAUGGCCGGUGCAGAGGGCUGCCAACCCGCGAGGGGGAGCCAAUCCCAGAAAACCGGUCGUAGUCCGGAUCGUAGUCUGCAACUCGACUGCGUGAAGUCGGAAUCGCUAGUAAUCGCGGAUCAGCUUGCCGCGGUGAAUACGUUCCCGGGUCUU